rnacentral:rRNA from 1 species
CCUACGGGAGGCAGCAGUGGGGAAUAUUGCACAAUGGGCGGAAGGCUGAUGCAGCGACGCCGCGUGAGUGAAGAAGUAAUUCGUUACGUAAAGCUCUAUCAGCAGGGAAGAAAAUGACGGUACCUGAGUAAGAAGCCCCGGCUAACUACGUUCCGGCAGCGGCGGUUAUACGUAGGGAGCAAGCGUUAUACGGAUUUACUGGGGGUAAAGGGAGCGUAGACGGUGCGGCAAGUCUGGAGGGAACUGCCGCAGCUUAACUGCGGAAUUGCUUUGGAAACUGGCGAACUAGAGUGCGGGAGGGGUAGGCGGAAUGAGUAGAGUAGCGGUGAAAUGCGUAGAUAUUAGGUGGAACACCAGUGGCGAAGGCGGCUUACUGGACUGUAACUGACGUUGAGGCUCGAGAGCGUGGGUAGCAAACAGGAUUAGAUACCCGGGUAGUC